GCUGGGCUCCCACUUCUCCCUCGUGUCCCCGUGCUGCAGCCAUACCUGACCGCUCCCGUUCCUUGUGAACACAUUCUGUUUUCCAGGCUCAUGAUGUCCUCCGCCUGGAAUGGCCCCUGCCCCAGUGUCAGCUCAUUGAAAUCCAACCCAUGCUCCAAUUCUGCUACGCUGCUGCUUGCUAUAUGACGCCUGCUAGAUUUCCUUCUACGUACUUUUAUUUCUUUUCAUGUGGGAGUAUUUGGCAAACGUAGACAGAAUUACUGGCUGGGCUUCCACAUCCCCUCACCCAGCUUCAGCCCUUCUCUGAGUCCUCCCAGAUACCACUCGGUCCCUCUUUCCUUGACGCCCCUCCUUCCUUGACCUCCCUCCACAGCUCCUGUCAUCUGUGCUUAACAAACAUUUGCUGAACCGAAUGAGCAGACAGCUAGUCGGUGGAUUAAGAGUGCUCCUUUUACCUCUCACUCCAAGUGAGGAAACUGAGGCCCAGAGAGGUGAAGUGAGUUGCCCAGAGUCAUAGGACAGCAAUGGCAAGCUGAGACCAGGUUCCUCUGGAGGUCGUCCUCGCCUAGUUGGAAGCCACUAUAGCAGAUUUCAAGCUAUUAACAUGACGGUCACUGAACGUGGAGUCGGAGGAGGUGCCAAGGACCAGCUCUCGUUACCAGCACGCCACCAGCUUGCAGGUUUAAUGUUGAUAAUUCCACGUCAUGUGAUUUUUGACCCUCGGGGUACUGAGCUUGUCCUAGAGUAAACAGACCUUGCCAUUCUGGUUCUGCAGGGGAUGGGGAGUCUGAGCAAGUGACUAGAUUUCUAGGGCUUCCAGCCUGCCCUGUGCCUGCCAUGACAUCACUGUUUCUAAUGAAGACUUAAGUUCUCAAGUGCUUGUCACCCCGGGAGGAUGGCAACUGGUCAAAGCAGAGACAGAAGGACGUCACGCUGCUGACUCAGAGCUUCAGAUGCCAGAAAUGGAGAAAGCAUUUGGGGGCUUGAGUGCAGUGGAAGAAAUAGUUGUUCUUAGGAAGAGCCUUCCUUGGACUCAUUCAAAGACACCUGGAGGAAACUGGUGCUUAGAGGCACAGGUUCUGUUCUCUAAGAAAGUUUCACAGGAUGGAAUAGAAAGGCCUAAAAGAUAGUGCCAAUGACUGGACUUAGAAUCCACAGUGACCAGCAGUCUGUCAGGGACUGUAUGCUAAAGCCAUGAAGAUGUCUAGAAGCAGAAUGACAAAAGAUCGGUCUGGCAGAAGCUUACAGUAGAAAUAUUUUAGUCUUGGUUUAAAAAUAUAUUUACAGGGCACCUACUGCUGUGGGAGUACUAAGCACUGUGCUAGCAGCUUUGUAUAUCCUAGUAAAUUGCAUGUGAA